rnacentral:sRNA from 1 species
UCAGUAAUAACUUUGUGAUUAAUGCGUC